rnacentral:rRNA from 2 species
UGGGGAAUUUUGGACAAUGGGCGAAAGCCUGAUCCAGCCAUGCCGCGUGAGUGAAGAAGGCCUUCGGGUUGUAAAGCUCUUUUAGUCGGAAAGAAAGAGUUGCAAUGAAUAAUUGUGAUUUAUGACGGUACCGACAGAAAAAGCACCGGCUGACUACGUGCCAGCAGCCGCGGUAAUACGUAGGGUGCGAGCGUUAAUCGGAAUUACUGGGCGUAAAGGGUGCGCAGGCGGUCUUGCAAGUCAGAUGUGAAAGCCCCGGGCUUAACCUGGGAAUUGCGUUUGAAACUACAAGGCUAGAGUGCAGCAGAGGGGAGUGGAAUUCCAUGUGUAGCAGUGAAAUGCGUAGAGAUGUGGAAGAACACCGAUGGCGAAGGCAGCUCCCUGGGUUGACACUGACGCUCAUGCACGAAAGCGUGGGGAGCAAACA